ACAAAUAAAAACGCUUUGGUACUAGAAAUGUAUUGCGCCAAGGCAAGAAAAAUAUUCCUGCGACUGACAGGAAUGACGCCUUAGAUCAUGGGGAAUAAAGGAUGACGCUCCGAGCCUAUCGCUUUGUUCCAAAGAUCGACGAACUCCGGCAAAGACAAAGGAAUUCAACACCCCCGGGUCGAGUGUCUUUUAGGAUUGGGAAGAAGAAGAGUAAUAUGUUAUGCAUCCAGCAGACGUUCGACUCCCAUUCCAGUACGCAGUGCAGACAAAAAAAGAAGUAGUGACUGGUUUCAAGGAGAAUGACAACCAAACAAGAUCCUAUUCAAUGCCAACAGAAGAAUAAAAUAAGGUGUGGAUACAAUUUUGCUAGAUUUUAUGCGCAAGGUAAUAAAAACCUGGACUAUUGAGCAAAUCGUAGAGGAGGAGAA